AAAUGACAGGCUGUCUAUUUUGUGCAAUUUAUUUAUUUCUCAACUUUAAGGUUCAGAAAUCUCUGUCCUGUAACAAGGUAUCUGUUACCGGAGUCUGAUUAUUCUGCACUGUGUAGGUCAUGUUUGUUAUGAGGACACUUAGCAAACAAAGAAGGUUUUUCUCCGCCCUCAAUAGCGUGGUAACGGAUGACAGGACACCACUUUCAACGAAGGAGACAGACAUUUCCCUGGCCUUUCUGAAGAGCGCUUUUUGGAGAGACAAACCUGUUGCUCAGGGGCUGAGCAUUCCCGUGUGUUCUCCCUGUACUUCACCUAAAAAUAUGCCUGUUUUCCACACUGUGCACACCCGGGGGUGGGUGCUGGGCAUACUCCACCUGCUUGUUUGCCUCCCGUUUUCUCAUCAGGGAGUAAACACAGUAAACCUAACGCUCCAGGGGAAGGAAAAAACAAAUCAUUCAGGGCCCAUCUCAGGUGACUGAUGAAUGCGGCACCGUUUUGAACGGGUACCUAAUCUGGUCCAGAUAUGCCUGCUGGGGCUGCAAGAACCAAGACACGUUCAAGCACGUUUGCUCCGGCAAGCUUGGGCGAGCAGGUCAAGACCUCAGAGUUUUAGAAAGCAGGGGCGAAGUUUUCAAGCACGAUGGGAACACCUGUAGGUGCAGGUGCCUGAGGGUCGGCCGACCACCUCGCAUCUGAGGCUGGAUCCGCACACGGAGAACGACAACUGCUCACAGGGACGUGCGUCCGGAGGAAAGUUGCGAAUGAGGGAGGAGAAGGAGCCAGUCUGGAAGGGAGGCUGACAAGUUUCAUUUUUAAAAAUUGAUCUGCACUUGGAUAUCUCUGGAGAUGCCAGUAAGGUUGUUGGGUACAGAGGUCUGCAGCUCAGAGACCAGCAGGCAUCCUGAACAAGACAGAUCCAGGCAGACGGAAUGGCCUGUAGGAGAACUUGGCAGAGGGCACAACCAAGAAGAGUUCAAAGGCGCUGGCCAGUUCCAUGCGACUGCAUGGGGUCAUGAAGAGAGGUGGCAGAGAGUUGGAGGGGAGGGCCUCCUUCCCUGGCAUGUCCAUCCGAGGGUCUCCAAGAACAUCCUGGCUGUGGCCCACACCUUUCUGUGUGGUUAGGAGGAGUAUCGGAUGCCUUCUCUUUCCAACCUUGGCUUAGGUGUCCGAGUUUGGAUGAGAAAUUAUAUGGGCUCCGCAUUCAUCUCCAACCUAUCAACAGCUGCUGAUAACUCCUUCUCUGAAGUGUUCUCACCUCACCUAGCCCUUUUUCUCCAGUCUCAAGGCUGCCAUCCCUGUUCAAGCUUCAGUGCCUGUCAUCCAUCUGAACUGCAUCAGCCUCAUAUCUCCUCUUCCAAUCCUCCCUGUACACCUCUCCUUUAAAACAGUGCUUUCAACCUGUAGCAUCCACCCCCAAGCGCUUACAACGAUGCCCAGUUUCCUAGAACUGCUACACCUAAAAGAAAUCACCAGCCGCCUUCUAAAGCUGGUUCAUCCGACAAAUCUCUUUCUAAAAGCUGCAUUUCUCACUGCUCCCAAAUGUGAACACUCGGCUAUUGUCAAACUAGCUCAUCUCUGAGUUCACUCUCCAAGCAAACUUUCACAUCCAUGCUGUUGCUCAUGCUAUACUAUCUUUCCUUGUCUUUUCAACCUUCUGGAAGCCCAGAUCUUCUAUCUGCAGUUCAGCUUGCUCUUCUUGCAUGAACCCUAAAUCAAGUGGAAAAAGCAUGGGUUUCUUAGUCAUGAGGAUCUGAAUUUGACCCUAGAUCCAUCACUACCCACUGUAUUUCACUGAUUAUAAGACAUACACAUUUUUUUUCACUUUUAACAUACCUGGAAAUGGAAUGUACUUUAGAAUCUUAAGCAUCUUAGAUUCAACAAAGCAUAGUAGCCUGUGACUUUGUGUUAUGUGACACAGACUCUCUGGGUCUCGGUGACCUCGUCUUUAAAACAAUUAACAUUUAACCCUCGAGACUGCUGUGGGAAUUACUUGGAAUAACCGCAGUGGGAGACCCAGUGGCAGAAUAUCUCUGUGAGAAUUUGUACCCUGAACCCAAGCAUUUUAUAAUGACUUUCUCUUGAGAAGACCUGGGCCACAUGGAAAAACUGUUGCAACUGAUACCAAAGUUUGUGUCAUCGAAUUUCAAAACAAUUCUCUGCAGUGUACAAAGCCAGAAAGAGAAACCAGCCUCAUUCAUGGGUGGUUUAACCACAGCUCUCUGCAGAGAACUCUGUUCAGAGGAAAUAGCUAAAGGGGCCAUUUCUCCAGGGGUCAUGAGCCAAGUAGCUUUCUGUUGGAAAAAUGUUGUUUGAUGGACAAAGCUACAAAAGCAGCUUUGUCCUUAAUUCUUCAGUAAAAAAUCUUCUAAAGCUGAUUUUAUGUUAAAAGUCCACAGCCCCAGCUCUGUCCCUUGCCCUGGGAAUCUGCCUGCAGGACUGCUUGGAGGGCCAGCAGUCUCCCUUGACUUGGUUCUGCACCCGGGACUGACCGGCUACGUGGGCAGUGCAACCAGAACAUCCCCCGUCACCGUUCCAUUUCCGGAAAGUGAGG
rnacentral:lncRNA from 1 species